rnacentral:misc_RNA from 1 species
GUUAUGUGGAUCCACAGCGUUACUGUAAGAUGGUUCAGAAUCCUGCCACCAAGUGCUGCAUGAAACCCUCGUGCAAUGUUUGUUUACAAACACCUAAACCACAGACAUACACACCAGAUGUAUGUGUAUACGAAGAAGUACAUACCAGGAAGGACAAUUGUGGUAUGAUGGCUGUAAUAAUGUUUGUCAGUGUGGCAAUUCUAACAAAUACAUAUACUCAUAUAGACAAAUAUUUGCAAUGCAUGCUACUAUCCCGCAAGGCUGUGUACUGGUUCCUGACCCAAAAGAUCCCUCGUACUGCUGGAUACCAAGUUGUUUGAUUUCUCCAAAACAAACCAUUGGUAUAGUGGUUGCUCCUGAACCCACUGGAACCGCAACAGGAGUGAGAUCAGAAUCAUCUGUUGGAACUGGCACUGCAUCAAACAAAGCAGCUGUGUUAAACUUAAAUAAUACUGACUUUCAUGGUUCUGUCUGUAAUUUUUGAAAAGUACAUGUACUAUGUGAUGGUUUUUAUUAAGGGAGUCAGUGGCGCAGUGGUUAGCAGGUUGGACUACAACGACAGCGGUCCGGGUUCGAUUCCCGGUCGCGGCUGAUAUCCCGACUAGUAUUCAGUGCUGGGUGAUUUGCUUAAAUUGUUUCCAGCAGUAUCGGCCUAGACUGGAUGCUGGGGAGGUUGUACAUACAAAGGAAUGCUUGUGUAUCAGAGGCAGAUAUUUGAUGACGGUUGUGAUUAUUCAUGUGAAUGCAUUGAUAAUACAGAUGUGAUAAAAGAUGUCACUCUUUCCACCUUCAUCUUGUCCUUAGAGAGCCGACCCUGCACACUCGUGUUGUUUGAUAUCAGAUCGUAACAUUGGUAAAAUUCCUGCCACAGUUUAUCCACUAGGAUACAGCUAGUAAACAAUAAAUCCAACCAACACCAGUAACUGGGGGCUACAUCAUUGUUGGUGGACUGGUACCAUAUCAGACUGGUUCUGGCUUCGAAGGAUCAACACCUGCUUGUAUAUAAAAUGGUCAAGUCUACAAAUAAGGGGCUGCAUCAUCAGGACAGAUGGGUGUAAAUAUAAUUGUGAAUGUAUAGAUGUAAUGGUGGACAGUACAAGUGUACAGAAAGGUGUGCUGUAUGCGACCUUGACAUGCCUUGCUGCAACUUUGACACUCCUUGCUGCACCCUUGACACUCCUGCAAAGUUAAAAUUGAUUUCCUGCAUGUAUCAACACACAUGAAGUGCUGGCGGCUAACAAAGAACUAUAGUUUCAUACUGAUGCUUAUCCAUAUUUGGUUUACAAUACUUACCUCUUUAUACAAGUUUAAUGUAUUUGGAUAUGUUCAGCCAAAAGAAUGUGAUUCAAAUGAUUAAAUAAUGGGUCAGUAAGAAUCCUAUGUCAAAGAGUAUAUUAGUGGAUCUUCACUUUCUUCUUUUUUCCCUGUAUUUAUAUCGUAUUGUUGAAUUACAAUACAUUUUGGAUACAUGAGUGAGUGAGUUGGGUUUUACAGCAAAUCAACACAAUAUAUAUAGAUAUAUAUCUAUAGCCAAACUCGGUGAUAUAUAAGACCAUUUUGUGUUGAUUCACAGUAAAACCCAACUCACUCACUCACAUAUCCAAAAUGUAUAUAUAUGUUGUAUGUAAUGAAUUAAAUGGUUGUAUAAUAUUAAAGUGUUUAGGUACAUUUUUGUACACAUUUUUGACAUAGUUAACUUGUACAGAAUACUUUACAUAAAAAUUAUAAAUGUUUUUCAGCCGUAAUUGUUUUUCCAGUAAAAUAGAAAUAUACAUCCUUUCAUAUUAAAAUGUGAAGCAAAAUAUAUAAUUCCAUUCACCUGCUUUAAACAUACUUAUUUUGAGGUCUUUAUGUUGCAAUAGACAUUAUGUGAGUAUACAGAGGGUAUUUUGUUUGUUUCAAUGUAAGAUAUAAAUAUCUUUCACGAGUGAAUACCAGAGGCAGUAUUUUCAUGAAUGGCAAGGCUGCGUGUGAAAAUGUAAGACAUAGUGUUCAUGUGUGAAAGAUACUUAUAUUUUACAUGUAAAACAGUUUUUCUGUUUAUGUUUUGACAAAAUUUACCCAUUUUAUUAGCUGGACUAUACGAAGUAUAAGGAGAGCUAUCCUAAUCGACCUGGAGUCGGUGUUGGCAUCUU